rnacentral:rRNA from 1 species
UGGAACGAGCGGCGGACGGGUGAGUAACACGUGGGCAACGUGCGUGUAAGAUCGGGAUAACUCGUGGAAACGCGAGCUAAUACCGGAUGAUACUUUUCAUCGCGUGGUGAGAAGUUGAAAGAUGGCUUUAUGCUAUCACUUACAGAUGGGCCCGCGGCGCAAUAUCUAGUUGGUGGGGUAAGGGCCUACCAGGGCAACGAUGCGUACCCGACCUGAGAGGGUGAUCGGCCACACUGGGACUGACACACGGCCCACACUCCUACGGGAGGCAGCAGUAGGGAAUCUUCCGCAGUGGACGAAAGUCUGACGGAGCAACGCCGCGUGAGUGAUGAAGGUUUUCGGAUCGUAAAACUCUGUUGUCAGGGAAGAACAAGUGCCGUUUGAAUAAGGCGGCACCUUGACGGUACCUGACCAGAAAGCCCCGGCUAACUACGUGCCAGCAGCCGCGGUAAUACGUAGGGGGCAAGCGUUGUCCGGAAUUAUUGGGCGUAAAGCGCGCGCACGCGGUCUUUUAAGUCUGAUGUGAAAGCCCACGGCUUAACCGUGGAGGGUCAUUGGAAACUGGAAGACUUGAGUGCAGAAGAGAGAGUGGAAUUCCGUGUGUAGCGGUGAAAUGCGUAGAGAUAUGGAAGCACACCAGUGGCGAACGCGACUCUCUGGUCUGCACUGACGCUGACGCGCGAAAGCGUGUGUAGCGACAGGAUAGAUACCCUGAUAGUCCACGCGUACACGAUGAGUGCUAGUGUUAGGGGUUUCGCC